CCUACGAGUGGCAGCAGUGGGGAAUAUUGGACAAUGGGCGAAAGCCUGAUCCAGCCAUGCCGCGUGUGUGAAGAAGGCCUUCGGGUUGUAAAGCACUUUCAGUGGGGAAGAAAGCCUUGGGGCUAAUACCCUCGAGGAAGGACAUCACCCACAGAAGAAGCACCGGCUAACUCCGUGCCAGCAGCCGCGGUAAUACGGGAGGGUGCGAGCGUUAAUCGGAAUUACUGGGCGUAAAGCGCGCGUAGGCGGUCUGAUAAGCCGGUUGUGAAAGCCCCGGGCUCAACCUGGGAACGGCAUCCGGAACUGUCAGGCUAGAGUGCAGGAGAGGAAGGUAGAAUUCCCGGUGUAGCGGUGAAAUGCGUAGAGAUCGGGAGGAAUACCAGUGGCGAAGGCGGCCUUCUGGACUGACACUGACGCUGAGGUGCGAAAGCGUGGGUAGCAAACAGGAUUAGAUACCCGAGUAGUC
rnacentral:rRNA from 1 species